UGGCGCACCUGGAAAUUAAGAAAUAUUUUGAAAUUUUUAUAUUUAAUGUGAUGUUAAAAUAGGCGGCAAAGUGGCGCAGAUGGAAAGCGUUGUCCUCAAGAGUUCUGAAGUUGCGGGUUCAAUCCUGGCCCCGCCUGUGUAGGGUUUGCAUGUUCUCCCCGUGCCUGCGUGGGUUUUCUCCGGGCGCUCCGGUUUCCUCCUACAUCCCAAAACCAUGCAACCUUAAUUAGACGCUCUAAAUUGCCCAUAGGUGUGAUUGUGAAUGCGGCUGUUUGUCUCCAAGUGCCCUGCGAUUGGCUGGUGACCAGUUCAGGGUGUAACCCGCCUCCUCCCCCUUUACGGCUGGGGUGGGCUCCAGCGCUCCCCGCGACUCUUGGUCCCCACCAGUGUCAGCACCUCCACUAUGUAGCAACGUCGCCUCGGAUGUAGUUUUCGCCCAUGAUGUCACGCGCGAGCUACAUUUUUGACAGACAAUUUCCCCGCCGCACAGAUAAGAGACUUGAAAAGGGAGACGGGGCAAGAUGAAUGCUGUGCAGGUGAGAAAAUGGGGCUUUUUUUUGGGAAAAUAUUCAACAUUCCGCAGAUGAUAUUAUAGAUAGGAGGAGGAGACGGGCGGCGCUGAAUGAAGUGGACUAAAUUACAUGUCACGCAGCGGCGUUAUGAUUAGCUGCCGUCAGGCUCCGGAGUGAAUAAAACGCGAUAAAAUAGGCUAGCGCUGAUACAGAAAUUCACUCGCGCUCUCGUCUCUUAAGCAAGAAGGAUGGCAAACCGUCGGCAC